CUGCACCAGCCAUGUCCAGUUACCUGUUCAUCAUCAAAUCUGAGCUCCCCCUGGUUAUCGGCACCUUCCUGUACAUGGACCCCGAGGGGUGAGUGAGCAACACCCCUUGGCUGGCCAGCAGCCCCUUGACUCUGCCUGUGAGGCCCGGUCAGUAUCUUCAGCGCUGUGUGUGCAGCUGACUUCUGUCUCUGGUUUUGUCAGUCUGACUCUGGUCUGUGUGACAGUUUUUUUUUUUUUUUGACAGAGUCUCAUUCUGUCGCCCAGGCUGGAGUGCAGUGACACGAUCUCAGCUCACUGUAACCUCUGCCUCCCAGGUUCAAGCGAUUCUCCUUCCUCAGCCUCCUGAGUAGGUGGGAUUACAGGCAUGCACCACCAUGCUCGGUUAAUUUUUUAAUUUUAUUUUUUUGAGACAGAGUCUUACUCUGUUGCCCAGGCUGGAGUGCAGUGGCG
rnacentral:lncRNA from 1 species